AUCGAAGGUGUACUCUGGAGAGUAUGUUGCGCUGCCCAUCAAGGAGGAGCCUACCUUCAAUUAUGCUCGCAAGCUUCUGGACAAGGUGGUAGAGCUCUGCCAUAAAUGGCCUACAUUUGAUGACGCAUGGGCUGCAAACCCUCCCGAUGAACUGCCUAGUCUAACGAAGAACGAGCCCCCUGUAGACAAGAGGGCACUUGUAGAGGCCAGGCAACACCGUCUAGAGAUGUGUCGCUGCUGCCUGUGCAAGGAAGAUUCGCAAAUGUAGGUCUAAAUCCAGUGUAGUACGUUGAAGGGAACUUUUCCCGAAUUGCCCACACAACACAUGAUGGCAGCACAUGACGGUUCCCUUCGCCAAGGUGCCCCCAGAGCCAGGAUGCACACUGCCGGUAGGCAACAUAGCGGUACCUCCUGUAACAAACGGAACAACAUCAUUAUGACGAGAACUGUAUUUUUCUCCUACAGGGUCUGCUGCUUCAUGGCCGUGGGCCAGCAUGUCAUUUAUUGAACAUGACACUGGAGAUGACACAUUUUGUUUGACAACUUCAAUUUGAGCUUUCAGAAAGCAGCUUGCAGGUGAGUGACUACGAAAGAGUGAAACUGAACCGCAAGACCGAUAGAAUCAUCUGUGUGGAAGGCUAGCUUAUCAUACUACGCACUGGGGACAAGGCAUUUACUUCAUGGCAGUUUCCAUCUGUAGCUUUCAGAGAAACAGUGACUACCUAUAUUACUCUGACACUCAUGCAAUCACCUCUGGAAGAGAGCAUUACGGAUGGUCUGGAGGAAUGCAUGUGGAGACAUCUGAAGACUCUAAACAAAUUUUAUGAAAUGGUAAUGCAGCUGCGUUUGUGUUUCACUGGUACGUUGGAGUCUUACAAUUUCCCUUUGACUUUUGUUGCGCAUGAGAGCAUCGUCAUGGAUGGCCUGGAAGAACGCAUGUGGAGACCUCUGAAGACUCUAAACAAAUUUUAUGAAAUGGUAAUGCAGCUGCGUUUGUGUUUCACUGGUACGUUGGAGUCUUACAAUUUCCCUUUGACUUUUGUUGUGCAUCAGAGCAUCGUCAUGGAUGGUCUGGAGGAACGCAUGUGGAGACAUCUGAAGACUCUAAACAAAUUUUAUGAAAUGGUAAUGCAGCUGCGUUUGUGUUUCACUGGUACGUUGGAGUCUUACAAUUUCCCUUUGACUUUUGUUGCGCAUGAGAGCAUCGUCAUGGAUGGCCUGGAAGAACGCAUGUGGAGACAUCUGAAGACUCUAAACAAAUUUUAUGAAAUGGUAAUGCAGUUGCGUUUGUGUUUCACUGGUACGUUGGAGUCUUACAAUUUCCCUUUGACUUUUGUUGCGCAUGAGAGCAUCGUCAUGGAUG